AAAAACUAGCAAGCAAUAAAAACAUGAAGCAUGAAAUGCACACAUAGAACUAUGUGACAUUUCAAAGAUUAGAAUACUCUGAUGAAUUUAUAAAUACAUUACUUUAUCUCCUUUGCAUGUAUUUUUUAAAUAUUUCAUAGAUAAUACUGCUAGCUCACAUUCCACAUUGAAAGCCUUGAAGCAUCUUUCCUGAGAAAACGUUUACAGUCAUACUGCAGAGAGGAGGAUCAAAAGGCUUACAAGGAAUUCACCCUUUAGUAUGGCCAAGGCUGCCCAUUAUUCCUUCAGUUCAAGUGUUUUCUGUGUGUCAGCAUGUUUGCAUUUCUACGAAUUAGAGUGUGGUUUUCUUCACAGCAAUCACAAACUCCACCUGUGAUGAAUGCCUGUAUCAAAAGGGCUUUUCCUUUUCUUUAUUGGAAGUUGCAGGGCCGGCGGCCAAAAGAGUUGAUAACAUAGCACCUGGGAGCCCAAUGAUUCUCUAAGACUCGAUUCAGAAUGGCUUCAUCUCGUCUCUGACUACAUACAUCAUUAACAAAGUGAAGCAUGGCUGCAGGGAGUUCUGAAGGGGGAGAUGGAUCUCCCUGAUUUCCUGGACUGAUGCAAAUCACAGCAGGCCUGACUUUCUACCCCAGGCGCUGCCCCGAGGAGAGUUUCAGAAAACAAGCUUCUGCCCUAAAGGGACUGGACUGGGAAAUUCAAAAGCUGCUAGAACAGGAAGUUUUUAAUCACUUUUUAAAUCAUUCAUGUAAUUACAGACUAUGUUUUCUUUUAAGUGAUAAUUUCAUAGACUAUUAUGGAAAUAAGAUUUGAGCCCAGAAGUCCUUUUUUUUUUUUUUUUAAACUUGUCAUUUCAGAUUCUGUCCCGUUAGAAAGUGACAUUGAUAUUUUCAACCAACAUUUUGAUUGCUGUAGUGGGUCAUUAUCAUUGCUGGAUUCAGUCAUUAUUAGGUGGUUACUGAAGACACUUGCUGUCAGCAAUACAGGAAAUAAAGUGAAAUACAAGGAACUAUUCCUGCCUUCUUGACAUUUACAAUCUACCUGGUUUGAAAUAUGGACAUUCACAUAAGUACAAACAAUUUAUAAAUAAGUGCUCAUCAACAGAAAAACAGAAAUAAAGGAGAAACAAGGACCAUAGAGAAGAUGAUGUGUGCUGCUGGGAGAAAGUGUUGAAGCCAAGACGAGGCCUGUUUUAUGGCACAAAGCAAGAAAAGAUAUCUAAAUUUAUUCACUCAUUUAUUCAGUAGCUGGAAUUGAUUAUACAGCCUUUGACUUGCCAAUAUUUUCUCCUUGUCAAUAUUAUUGGAGUUCUGAGGCAGCACGCAUUGUGACGAGGUCACCAAACUUGGGAGCAUUGUGACAGGAUUCACAUACAUGUAUAUCACAGGGAUAGACCAACAGCCUUGAUUUGUAUCAAAGAUGGUUCUGGAGAAUGUUAUAAAAAGGAUGACCCUUUCAACAAAUGGUACAGAGACAACUCUACAUUCAUAUAUAUGUUAAAAAAAGAAAAUUAAUCCUAAACUCACCUCAUAAGAAAAAUAAAUACCAUGUAGAUGGUAAAUAAAGCUGGGGACCUGAAGACUUUCAGAACAUAAUAUAGAAGGACAUCUUCGUGAAUUUGUGAUAGACAAAGAUUUUUAAAAAUAGAACUCAAAACUGUAUCAACCACAAAGGGAAAGACUGAUAAUUUUGUCUAGACAAAGAUGAAAAACUUGUAGCCAUCAAAUAAGAGGGAACAGGAUAGCCUCAGCAUCUCAGUAACUCCAAUGACUAACAAAGGCAUUGUACCCAGAAUACACAUAAGGAUACAUCUGCCUAUCUAUGGAACAGACACCCCAGGAGAAAAAUUAGAAAGGGACUAGAGAGAUACUGUACACACACAAAAUGAGAUGAGGACAUAUGGACCAAAACAGCAGAGAAGGCAAACCGAAGUCUGCCCCACAGCUGGUGGUGCUAAGAUUAAGAAUGCUCCCAUGAGGAGGAAAAAAUAGAGGAGGGAAGGACCAGUCAGACUCAGGACUUCCCUGAGAAACAAGGAGAAAGAACUCAGGAUGCCUCACAGAGGCAGGCUGGCUUUGAAUACUCAUAAGGUGUUCACAACCCCAUAAGAAAAGCUAAAAAAUAAAAAAUAAAUAAAAUACACAAAGAUGUUAAGGAUGAGUAUUCAUAAUGGUCUCAUUGUGUCCUAUGAUGACCCAGAACUUAGACCAAGGGGCAAGAAGGGUGGUUUAGGAAAACAGGGUGGGGUAGAUGUUGUGCUCCUCAGAAUUCAAAUCUCAGGAAAUUUCCCAUCGUAUUCCGUGAUGCCAUUACCAUAGAAGUCACUGUAGAGAAAUAGAAACCUGAAAUAGGGCUCAAGAGGGAAGAAAAUAAUUUCUAGAAGAACUCUUGAAAACACAGGGCUUUCACACUUAUCUGGAUUAAUAUACUAGAAGAGGGACUAACAGAAAUUGAAGAAAUUCUCUCUUGGGAUUGUUCGAUAAAUAUGAAACCCAUCACCUGUUCAAGGUCUUUAACUGUGAAAAUAUACUGAAGUAAACUGCCUCUUGAGCUCCCUCUAAUCUCUGCUCGUCAUUUGUCUGUUAAAGCAACUCAGUCUUGAUAAAGAGGCACUAAAGCAAAACAGCGGGAAGAAAACAUUACAAAGGCCAGGCCUGGAAGAGGACGCCAAGCCUUUAAGAGAUGUCUCAUUCCUGCCCUGCCUCCCAAUGCCUCAAUAUAAAGUAAAGGCUGAAAUUGAAACAGAAUUGAAAAUCUCAUACUUUGGGAACAUGUAAAUGCAUCCUUCCCUAACCUUCCCACUGAGUACAACCAAAAGCCUGGAGAUGAUAUGUCAACAAACACAAGAAGACUCAGAAAGGUGGCGAGAAGGCCGACCAGCUCAGGACCUAGGAGUCCGAGGCACAACACAACGGCAGGAAAAUGCAGUUUCACAUUCUUCCUAAUGGACUUACUCUCAAUUAAUGGAUCUUCAUAACGAGGGUUCAAGCAGACCGGACAACUGGACAAGUAAACAUUGUGCCAUGGCCAAGGCUCCAGCAUGUAGCUUGGGCUCUUAGUGCCUCCUCUCUGACAACAGAGAAAGUCACACCACAUGGGCUAGCACUUUUUCUCAGGGACAGUGUCUCCUGGAAAAGGAAAGGAGUUCACAGCACCACCCAGUGGGCAAUGCACUCUUCCCAAAACUGCACCUCCGGGGAGCUCAAGAGUUCCCUGGCCCUAUUGAUCAACGUGCAGGAGACACCAAUUUAAAUAAUUGCCAUAUGUUAACAUCUAAAUGAUUUAGGAACCAAGUAUAUCAUUUUUAUCUGACUCCAGAGAAGAUAGAGGCAUAAUGGAAAGCAUUUUGAACUGGUAACUGGAGGACAGUGGAAUCGUUCCUUGUUCCCACUGUCCUCAUUUAUAAAAUGGUGAUGAGGAACUAGGUGGUCUCCAAAGCAUCUUUGAGCUCUAAAAUUCUAAUAGAGCUAAAUCAAUGACACUGGAAAACAAAUAUGAUGCAACAGAAUUGCACUGCUAGCAAAAGGAACAUAUGCCAUAUUAAAAUGUUCUUAUUGGGCGUUUUUGCUGGCUUAUCACUGUGUUUACGGAAUUCAUUUUCACUGCAUUCCUGAUUAAAGUGGG